GUUCGCUGUCGACGUAAUGGUCCAGUUCGGUCUACCUCGCUGGAUAUUUCACACCAAAGGGUUUGGAUGUCCAUGAGGUUCUUACAGAAACUGCGACAACAGCUAUCAUUGGCGUUUCAUGGAGCUCAUCGAUGCUGCAGGAUGCAGAGGACCACCUGCAGAUGUGUUUUUAGAUAAUGGCCUACAUGUGCUUAGCAGGAAGUAUGAACUAUGAGGUGGAAAGAAAAUCUCAUUGGUUUGGUUUGGUUCCUAAUUUCAGAGAGGUUCUUUCGUUUGCAGAGUUGAGGAUGUGGCACUGACAAUGGUUCUCCACA